rnacentral:misc_RNA from 1 species
CUUCCCUGGUGCCAGAGUGCUACUGCUUGCGUAUGGACUGUAACAUUGUUUCCAUUUUAUUGGAUGUCGUCGAUGGGCUAUGUUCUUCACCAACAUUACUGUUGUUGCCAUGUAUUGUUAUGCAUUUUACAACUCUUUUAGUGAGUUGGCAUUUGGUGAGAGAGCAAUAGUUGAUUUCCUGAAAUUCUGAAUUUCAGGUCUAUAAUCUAAUAUCUUUCUCAAGGACUCGGGUGCUUUAAUGUGUUCUAGCGCUAUAAGCAUUGCUCUUUAUGUGAAGAGACUAGGAUAAUUACCCCAAAAAAAAAAAAAAAAUUCAUUCUCUCGUCUUGCUCUUGCUUCUGCUCAUCUUUUCAAGGGUGCCAACUAGUAGAGGAAUGCAAAUUCCUUGAGACAGUUCUGGUCUGUGUCCUCUGGAUACUUCAGAGCUCACUGCUUUUAAAGAUUUCCUUCCUCGUUCGUCUAAGCGAAUUCUGCUUGGGAAGUACAAUCCUCCAUUGCCUUUGUCUGGUUGAAUGCCAAUUAGCCGGCCCAAUGACAUGCUAUGGUCUUGGAAGAAGGAUGCUGUAGACUGGUUAAAUUUGCAGAUAAAUAAAAUUUAUUUUGACAUGAAAACUAGUUCUAGUGGAAGCAGUUUUAAGAUAAUAGCUUGCUGUCAAUGCUCAAGCUUCUUUUCUUUUUUGUCUGUCAUUGACAGAAAAGUAGCAAAGGCUGUUCUGAUUGCUUUUAUAGUUUUCUCAUGUGUCCUGUGAAUUGGUUUAAAGUUUAAACUCUUCUAAAGCAAGAAAUUUGGAAUGACAGAUCCAUCCAGCUGAGGGGGAAAAAGCUUAUUUUCAUAGAAAACAUGCUUAAUUCUGAAGAUACACAGAGACAUAAGGCUUCCUUGAUUUCUUGCUAUCUCAUGUCUAUCAAGGAAUGCCAUACUAUCAAACUAUAGACAAGAUGAAGGAAGCAAGGGACAAAGCCUUGCCAUAAUAUCAAACACUUUCUUCGUUGUGAAAGAAUUCAUAUAUUAGUAAGGAACUCAUUGAUCUGUACUAAAUUGUCUUACUAGAACCUGGAAUAUGACUAUUAAGAGGAAUGGUUUAUGGGUAGCAUAGAUGGUCUAAAGCAAGCAUUGGAAGGUCCAUAGAAAUCAUUCUUUGCUAGGUAGAUGCAGAUCUAACUGUAAAACUCUUUUUCUAACUGUAAAACUCUUUUUAGCAAUCUUGUAACAUGGGCUAAAAGAAUACACACAUAAAAGAGGUGCAGUAAAAAUUGGGGAAAGAAAAGUAGUCACUUCACCUCAGUGUCGAGGUUGGAGGAUGUGAACGAGGAAAAACUGGGUGAGCGCAAGUGUGCAUUGGAAUAUGGUUCUGCUGGAGCAGCCUGUAUGUUUUCUAUCACUCGAAGCCUCAUGGUCAUGAUUUCUAGCCCAAGUGGCCAUCCGUUAGAUGUCUCAUUUUCCUGGAAGGACCAUUAAUCAACACAUAGCAGGUAUUGGUUAACUUCAAAAUUAACCCUCAGUAUGUAGCCAAUCAAACAUUACUGAUGUUUUUUAUCAGCCAGUCAAGAUCUUCAAUUCAUAAUCGUAGAAAAUGGGAAAACAAAAAAAUGAAAAUGGGAAGUUCGGGGAUCACUGUGGGUUAUGCUAAAAGUUUCAGCUGUGGCAUUCGAUAAUUGCCAUAACAGGGGCGAUCAACUCCCCUCCAGUAUAUGGUUGACCAAUAAAAGAAAAAGAAAAUUAUCCAUUAUCUACUCUUAUGUGAUGAAAAGGAUGCUUGAUACUGAACAGAUACUUUGGCUGCAUUCUGGAAAAACUUUCUUCCAAAUCAAAGAGCAAAACCAUACAUGAGCAUAGUGUUGAUUUACAAAGCAAGACUAGUAAUUUUCGAAAAUUUUCAUAGAGCUUUGCAAAGUGCAGAUCAAUAUAAGACAAGGGCAAUUCUUGCUGGGAGAUCAACUGAUACUGUAGGACACAAUGUGGGUCUAGGUUUCAUCAGAUUGACCUAAACAUCAAAUUAAUGAGGCCGUUCUUCCUUCUAGGCAAAUUAGGUCUCUCAUAAGUUAUAUUCAUUGGCAAUUCUAAAUUCUACUGUACAAUUCUCAGUUUGGCUUUCAACUGAAAAGCCUGCAGACUUCCCAUUUAACAGAACUUUCACAAGCACAAAGGUGUAAAUGUACUGCUUGCUGAUAAACAUAAAUUAGCUUCCUGCUUUAUUGCAUUUGGCCACAAUCAGAAUUCCAUUUUGUCAUUUCCUUCUCUUAUCCCUCUUAUGUGUUUGUUUUUGGAGGUAGUGGUCAAAAACAAAGAUCAAACAAGGGUAAUAGUAACCAUAGAGUAAAGCCACCUACUUCCCACAAACACUUCAGCACCUUAUUGAUUUCUAAGGGGGAAAAAACCAUUCUUUGAUCAUGUAUUUUGCAGUAAAAUGUAUCCCUCAAAUCGCAUACCAAAUGAAGAUUUAUCAAACACCUUAUGCGAUUAUGCCCAUUGAGGAAAUAAUUAGAAAUUGCCAUAUAAGGAAAAUCUCACCAUAAAGAUAAACGCUUUGCUUACAAACAAUCAAAUAGUAACAAAAAUAGAAAACAAAACUAUCAGUUCAUAUUCCAAACCAAGAAAAGCAAAAUGUCAAAAUAAAAAAUCCUAUAAAGAACAAUUCAGAAGAACUACAGCAAAAAUUCAGAAUUUGCACUUGCAUAAUCAAGAAUCAGCACAAUAGCUAAUAUAUGGAGAACAAGAAUCGACACAAGAAAGAAGAAUGGCUGUUACCUCUGUCGUUGCCAUGGGUGUCUAGAGCUCCCACAAGGAAACGAAAUGCAAGGAUGAUGACAACCUCACAGAAUUCUUGCAGACAAUUAGUAAGAAAUUGUACAUGAUACGACCAAAGAAGUGAACUUUAGCCUUUUUUGGUCCUCUCUUAAAAUUCCUACUUAAACUUGAGACGAUCAGUGGGCUUGGGUCCCAGUUUUGGAUGUUCAGAUUUUCAAAUCACAACAACUAUUUUUAAUAACUGAUAAUCACAACUGUUAAAAGACAAAAAGAAACUGUGCAACUGUUAAUACAUCUCCAAAUUUUAAAGAAACUUUAUAUAAAAAAAGGAGUAAUUAAUCAAUCAAACGGCCCACAGAGAAAGUACAACAUCAAUUCAUGAUCAAGAGCGUUCACUUAAUUGAUUUGCAGUUUGGGGUGAUGAUAUGGGGUCUAUGCCACCUGCCAAUGAUUGGGUAGAUGAAGAUUUAGCAAGAGUUAGGAGUAAAAAGCUGUGUUGUUGAAUCUCUCUUUCUCUGCUGCAAUGAAGGUAACAGGACACAUUAAUAACUAUACAGCUAAUAGCUAAGCCACACCAGCCAAAAAAGGGUAAAAUCAUUUUUGGAAAAUUAGAUCUAAAAGCCAUUUUGCACCAACCAUUGUGUAAG